GAGAAGAGGAGAGUGGAAUUCCAUGUGUAGCGGUGGAAUGCGUAGAUAUAUGGAAGAACACCAGUGGCGAAGGCGGCUCUCUGGUCUGCAACUGACGCUGAGGCUCGAAAGCAUGGGUAGCGAACAGGAUUAGAUACCCUGGUAGUCCAUGCCGUAAACGAUGAGCGCUAGGUGUUGGGGACUUUCCGGUCCUCAGUGCCGCAGCAAACGCAUUAAGCGCUCCGCCUGGGGAGUACGACCGCAAGGUUGAAACUCAAAGGAAUUGACGGGGGCCCGCACAAGCGGUGGAGCAUGUGGUUUAAUUCGAAGCAACGCGAAGAACCUUACCAGGUCUUGACAUCCUGUGCUACACCUAGAGAUAGGUGGUUCCCUUCGGGGACGCAGAGACAGGUGGUGCAUGGCUGUCGUCAGCUCGUGUCGUGAGAUGUUGGGUUAAGUCCCGCAACGAGCGCAACCCUUGUCUUUAGUUGCCAUCAUUAAGUUGGGCACUCUAAAGAGACUGCCGGUGACAAACCGGAGGAAGGUGGGGAUGACGUCAAGUCAUCAUGCCCCUUAUGACCUGGGCUACACACGUGCUACAAUGGGCAGUACAACGAGAAGCGAACCCGCGAGGGUAAGCGGAUCUCUUAAAGCUGUUCUCAGUUCGGACUGCAGGCUGCAACUCGCCUGCACGAAGCUGGAAUCGCUAGUAAUCGCGGAUCAGCACGCCGCGGUGAAUACGUUCCCGGGCCUUGUACACACCGCCCGUCACACCAUGGAAGUCUGCAAUGCCCAAAGUCGGUGGGAUAACCU
rnacentral:rRNA from 1 species